AUGGCAGCUGAGUCGUCGGCGGUGGCCGGCAUGCGGAAGGCGCCCGCCAUUGAGUGGCGGUGGGUGUCCGCGGGGGAGGAGGAGGACGACAAGCUGGAGGGCCUGCGGCCGUCGGGGCGGCGGGAAGGGGCUGCAGCUUCGAGUCCCAGGACGAGGAGGACAACGUCGACUACGAGGACGAGGACGAGGAGCACCGGGAGGCCAGGAAACUCCUGUCACGCACGGCCACCGCCCAACUGCCUCGCGGCCACCCCCGUCCGCUGGUGGCGUUCUUUGUGCCUCCAAUCGAUGGCGAUGAACCAUGCCUUUUUCAUGGUGCAAUGA
rnacentral:rRNA from 1 species